rnacentral:rRNA from 1 species
GAAGUUGGAGUCGCUAGUAAUCGCAGAUCAGCAACGCUGCGGUGAAUACGUUCCCGGGCCUUGUACACACCGCCCGUCACGUCAUGAAAGUCGGUAACACCCGAAGCCGGUGGCCUAACCCUUGUGGAGGGAGCCGUCGAAGGUGGGAUCGGCGAUUGGGACGAAGUCGUAACAAGGUAGCCGUACCAGAAGGUGCGGCUGGAUCACCUCCUUU